AUACGGAGGAUGCGAGCGUUAUCCGGAUUUAUUGGGUUUAAAGGGAGCGUAGGCGGGAGCUUAAGUCAGCGGUUAAAUGGUGCGGCUCAACCGUGCCCUGCCGUUGAAACUGGGUUUCUUGAGAGUGCAAGAGGCGGAUGGAAUUCAUGGUGCAGCGGGGGAAUGCUUAGAUAUCAUGAAGAACUCCGAGUGCGAAGGCAGUCCGCUGGGGCGCGUCUGACGCUGAUGCUCGAAGGUUCGGGAAUCAAACAGGAUUAGAUACCCUGGUAGUCCGCACGGUAAACGAUGAUUACCCGCUGUCGGCGGCAGACAGUCGGCGGCCAAGCGAAAGCGAUAAGUAAUCCACCUGGGGAGUGCGCCGUCACCGGUGAAACUCAAAUGAAUUGUCGGGG
rnacentral:rRNA from 1 species